ACAGGAUUUCAAGAAGCAAAAAUACCCUCAAGUAGCUAGCAUACACCUAUCCACAGUCUGAUAGCAUGAUGCUCAUGACGGGAUGUCACUGACGGUCUGCGUUCAAAUCCCUGGCUGAUGACUGUGACUGCUGGGAUUUUGGACACACUUCUGACGAGAUUCGAGCCACGAAGCAGUGAAAGACCUGGGCCGGGGCGGCCGUGGGACCGGGGCCGCCCAAGUCCGCAGGCUGCAGAGCUGCUCCCUGGGCUGCUGGGUUUUCACAUAUGCAGAGGUGCUAAACAAAAAUUAGAGAACGAUUCAAAAACAAAAUUUUGUUUCAAACAGUGGAAGAGGGCUAGGAUCUGUUCCUUUAAAAUCACCACGCGAGUUAAAAACGGAAAUUAAGAAAGGUUAAAGAAACAUCGCUCCGUGGUGGUUCCUGCAUGCUCUAAGAAACUGCAGUGUAUCUACCUAACAGAAGAAUCUACUCCUUUGGAGAAACAGUAAAAUUGCCUGUUUUAAGGUUCAAAAUGUAAUAGUUGCUUAUGCAGCCCAAAUCUGUGUCCUAGUCACU